GUAAGGAAUAUUGGACAAUGGACGCAAGUCUGAUCCAGCCAUGCCGCGUGAAGGAUUAAGGUCCUCUGGAUUGUAAACUUCUUUUAUAAGGGACGAAAAAAGGCUUUUCUAAGUCGUCUGACGGUACCUUAUGAAUAAGCACCGGCUAACUCCGUGCCAGCAGCCGCGGUAAUACGGAGGGUGCAAGCGUUAUCCGGAUUCACUGGGUUUAAAGGGUGCGUAGGCGGGCAGGUAAGUCAGUGGUGAGAUCCUAGAGCUUAACUCUAGAACUGCCAUUGAUACUAUCUGUCUUGAAUAUUGUGGAGGUAAGCGGAAUAUGUCAUGUAGCGGUGAAAUGCUUAGAUAUGACAUAGAACACCUAUUGCGAAGGCAGCUUACUACGCAUAUAUUGACGCUGAGGCACGAAAGCGUGGGGAUCAAACAGGAUUAGAAACCCGUGUAGUCC
rnacentral:rRNA from 1 species